AGAGUUUGAUCCUGGCUCAGAUUGAACGCUGGCGGCAUGCCUUACACAUGCAAGUCGAACGGCAGCACGAGAGCUUGCUCUUGGUGGCGAGUGGCGAACGGGUGAGUAAUAUAUCGGAACGUACCCUAGAGUGGGGGAUAACGUAGCGAAAGUUACGCUAAUACCGCAUACGAUCUACGGAUGAAAGUGGGGGAUCGCAAGACCUCAUGCUCAUGGAGCGGCCGAUAUCUGAUUAGCUAGUUGGUGGGGUAAAAGCUCACCAAGGCGACGAUCAGUAGCUGGUCUGAGAGGACGACCAGCCACACUGGAACUGAGACACGGUCCAGACUCCUACGGGAGGCAGCAGUGGGGAAUUUUGGACAAUGGGCGCAAGCCUGAUCCAGCAAUGCCGCGUGAGUGAAGAAGGCCUUCGGGUUGUAAAGCUCUUUUGUCAGGGAAGAAACGGUGGACUCUAAUACAGAUCACUAAUGACGGUACCUGAAGAAUAAGCACCGGCUAACUACGUGCCAGCAGCCGCGGUAAUACGUAGGGUGCAAGCGUUAAUCGGAAUUACUGGGCGUAAAGCGUGCGCAGGCGGUUGUGCAAGACAGAUGUGAAAUCCCCGGGCUCAACCUGGGAAUUGCAUUUGUGACUGCACGGCUAGAGUGUGUCAGAGGGGGGUAGAAUUCCACGUGUAGCAGUGAAAUGCGUAGAGAUGUGGAGGAAUACCGAUGGCGAAGGCAGCCCCCUGGGAUAACACUGACGCUCAUGCACGAAAGCGUGGGGAGCAAACAGGAUUAGAUACCCUGGUAGUCCACGCCCUAAACGAUGUCUACUAGUUGUCGGGUCUUAAUUGACUUGGUAACGCAGCUAACGCGUGAAGUAGACCGCCUGGGGAGUACGGUCGCAAGAUUAAAACUCAAAGGAAUUGACGGGGACCCGCACAAGCGGUGGAUGAUGUGGAUUAAUUCGAUGCAACGCGAAAAACCUUACCUACCCUUGACAUGUCUGGAAUCCUUGAGAGAUCAGGGAGUGCUCGAAAGAGAAUCAGAACACAGGUGCUGCAUGGCUGUCGUCAGCUCGUGUCGUGAGAUGUUGGGUUAAGUCCCGCAACGAGCGCAACCCUUGUCAUUAGUUGCUACGAAAGGGCACUCUAAUGAGACUGCCGGUGACAGACCGGAGGAAGGUGGGGAUGACGUCAAGUCCUCAUGGCCCUUAUGGGUAGGGCUUCACACGUCAUACAAUGGUACAUACAGAGGGCCGCCAACCCGCGAGGGGGAGCUAAUCCCAGAAAGUGUAUCGUAGUCCGGAUUGUAGUCUGCAACUCGACUACAUGAAGUUGGAAUCGCUAGUAAUCGCGGAUCAGCAUGUCGCGGUGAAUACGUUCCCGGGUCUUGUACACACCGCCCGUCACACCAUGGGAGCGGGUUUCACCAGAAGUGGGUAGCCUAACCGCAAGGAGGGCGCUCACCACGGUGGGAUUCGUGACUGGGGUGAAGUCGUAACAAGGUA
rnacentral:rRNA from 1 species